UACGUAGGGGGCAAGCGUUGUCCGGAAUCAUUGGGCGUAAAGAGCGUGUAGGCGGCCCGGUCAGUCCGCCGUGAAAGUCCAGGGCUCAACCCUGGGAUGCCGGUCGAUACUGCCGGACUAGAGUUCGGAAGAGGCGAGUGGAAUUCCCGGUGUAGCGGUGAAAUGCGCAGAUAUCGGGAGGAACACCUAUGGCGAAGGCAGCUCGCUGGGACGUUACUGACGCUGAGACGCGAAAGCGUGGGGAGCAAACAGG
rnacentral:rRNA from 1 species